UGACAUGCAUCCACUAUUUGUUGCAAAAUAUUGAGACAAUCCUGCUCUUUGUUCCCUGAACUUUGAAUUAGCCUGUGCAGGCGAUCUGCUGAUGCAUGGCCAAAUUGUCUGUGAAGUUUGAGGAGGACCUUGUUCUUCUCGAUUGUGGACAUGUUUUCUGUUACAAUCAGGACUUCAUCUUCAGCACAUAAAUCUUGAAUCUGAUAUUCCAUGUCAUCUUUGUCUCUUAUGUCUACACAGUAAUGUCCUGAGCUGGUAAACUGAAGAGGUAUCUGCUGCUUAAACAUCACUACCCUGUCGUUUUCUAUGUCUAACGUAGUUCCUGCCUUUUUUAAUGAUGUUUUACUCAGCAGGAGUGGAAUAUCGACUUUGACAACUUCUGUCUCAAUGUUACACUUUGUCCAUCCUAUUUUAGCAGGUAGAUGCACUUUUCUGGCGGAAUGAAUCACAUUUCCAUCUCCAAAACGAAACAGUCUGUUGCUAGACCUUUCUGUACUUCUUAGCUUAUUUACCUGCUUUUAAUUGGGAUUUUGUACAAAACUUUCAAGCCACUUUUCGCCACACACUGUGCGAGUGCAGGCGGUGUCUAUGAUCGCUGAGCUUGCUGCUUCAGUCAUAAAAAUCUCAGCUUUAGACUGGGGAUCAUUCGUUAACAGCGUGAUAUUAACUUCAUCCAAAUUGUCAUUUUCAGUCAAUCUUACUUGUUCGUGCUUUUUGUGCGGGCAGUCCUUUGCCCAGUGGCAUGUGCUUUGACAGACGGCACAUCGUGAUCGUUUACCGUACUUAUCCAGUGGGUUUGUACCCGGUAACGGCGUCACCGAUCUUCGUUGACCACGUGGAAACGGUGUGUUUGGUCUUCCUCUCCAUUGUGGCUGUUCUGUGAGGAAAGCUGCGUCCUGGUUCAGUUGUAUCUCGCUUGACUUGCCCGUUGUUUUACCUCCGAAUAUCCGUUUGAGAGCUGACUUCAUUGACGAGAAGCUUAGCUCCGUGUUAGCCCUCAGUGCUAGCUGCCUGUCUUUCUCAUCAAGGCAGGCUGUGUCAAGAAGUUUGAAGGCUAACACCCCAUCAGCGCUGUUCAAAGUCAAUAAUAUAGUCCACCAUUGAAACGGAAAUAUUUUUGGUGAUGCGGUCGAAGUACGUGUACGCUUCGUAUGCGCGAUCCUUUUCCUCUUUCAGCAAAACGUCAUCCAGUUUUGCAAAUAAUGUCGUCAUACCGUUGUCAUUGUCCAACUCCUCCGCAGAUAUCUCCAUUGCGAUUUCUCUGGCUCUCCCUUCAAGUCCCAAAGCCACAGCCAGUGCUUGCUUUUUCUUAUUGAGUUCUGUAACGCGCAUCCAAAUGUUAACUUCAUUUUUCCAGCACUCGUAUGGCUUGGACUCGUCAAACCUCGGCGGUAUUUUAUAGUUUGCAGCCAUCCUCAACCAUCCUCUGCUACCAAUGUUAAAUAUGGGUGAAUAAACACGACGUCUAUUCUGAUUCACAACUUUUAAUCAACUGCUGCACAGAGGAAAAACACUUUUUCCUUCCCACCCAUCAACACUGCGCAUGCGUUAACCCAGUAUAUGGAGAAACAUGUUAACAGUGGUAGUAUUAUGCUCUGGGCCUGUUUUGCAGCCAAUAAAACUGGUGAUUUAAAUGGGACAAUGAAAAAGGAGGAUUAGCUCCAAAUUCUUCAGGACAAGCUAACAUCAUCAACCCGGAGGUUGGCUCUUGGGCGCUUUUGGAUGUUCCAACAGGACAAUGACCCCAAACACACGUCAAAAGUGGCAAAGGAAUGGCCAAAUCAGGCAAGAAUGAAGGUUUUAGAAUGGCCUUCCCAAAGUCCUGACUUUUACGUGUGGACAAUGCUGAAAAGUCCAUGUCAGAAAACCAACACAUUUAGCUGAACUACACCAAUUUUGUCAAAAGGAGGGGUCACAAACUCAAAAACCAAAACCACCUUUUUGCGGUGAAACUUGCCAAGGGACAUGUAAGCAAAUAUUAACAUUGCUGUAUGUACACUUUUGACCCAGCACAUUUUCAGUAGACCCAUAAUAAAUUCAUAAAAGAAGCAAACUUCAUGAAUGUUUUUUGUGAGCAACAAGUAUGUGCUCCAAUCACUACAUCACAAAAAAAUAGUAGUUGUAGAAAUGAUUGGAAACUGAAGUCAGCCAUGACAUGAUGUUCUUUACAAGUGUAUGUAAACUUUUGACCUGACUAAGACACUGGAGGGCUGCUUGCACAUGAGCCUUGAAGCCAAGCUGAACCUGUUUGGAGACUUAGUCUUAGACUAGUCAGGAAGUAGAAGAGCAGAAUUCCCAGCUGCAAAGAUGUGAUAUGAGUGAAGAUGGACUUCCUUCACCAGAGUGAGGUGUGGGCUUAGCAUGAGCAGCGUAAGCAGCUCACGGUGCGUUUUGUGCUCCGCCAGCUGGUGACGGUGGUAACCAGCUCUCAGAGAGACGUGAAGGCUGAAGGCUGAAGGCUGAGUGACACACAGCACAGAUGCUUUGUGCACUGGAACACAGAGAGAUGUCUCCAUCGCUGAGGGACCUCAUCACACUUGGACUUUUCUUUCACAUCUGCACUAAUUGCUCCUCAUCUUACACCAUGUCUUCUUCGGCUGUUUGUGGCUGACAAAACACCUUCAAUCUGCAUUUGUCUACAAUAUUUUGUCAGAUGUUGAUCUUUGUGUCCAUGUAGUUGUGAUGUCAUCAUUUGGGGCUCAUGUGUCAUCACAUUGACAAGGAUUUCUUCUUUCCUUUUCAAACCAAUAGACAGCUGCUUAUCAGUGAAUAUCACCUUGUGUCACAUCUCAUCAUUAUUUUUAACAAUAUUUUGGAACAAUAGUACCAUUUUUAACUACUUCCGUAUGCUAAUAUUAAUUGUUUUUGAUGUAACAUUUAAGAAUGAUGAUUAUGAGAACUGCGAUGAGGUGGCGACUUGUCCAGGGUGUACCCCGCCUUCCGCCCGAUUGUAGCUGAGAUAGGCGCCAGCGCCCCCCGCGACCCCAAAAGGGAAUAAGCGGUAGAAAAUGGAUGGAUGGAUUAUGAGAACUGCUGUCCAGUUGUUUUAUCUUCUUUUCUGAUGACAUUAGUCUCAUUUGCAAUGCAGUUGCACUUCCAAGACCAUUAGAUGGCAGCACUGUAUAACUAUUUAUGCUAUGUUGUCAAACUAGAAAGUAGCUUUUUUUUUCAGGAAAUUAACUUUUUAGGUUGCGCCCUACAAAGUGUCAAUACUGUAAGAAUAGUUAUUACACAAAAUUGUAAAAUUCGAACUAUAAUCUUAGUUGUUUCCUUUACCAAAUUCCAAGGUGUUGAAAUCGCCAUGUAAAAUCCUUCAUGUAAAUAGUAGCCUGUCUUUGGCAAAUCCUAUGUAAAUUAGCAAUAAGCUAGCGCAUUUUGGAAGAGUGUCGCAUUACUUUAUGUUUGCGCUGUUUUUUUAUUAAGCACACUUUAUUGGUGUUGAAAAUGGCAACGUGACUUUUAGGGAGUUUGGCUGAGUCCGGCCUGAGUGCUGCUUGAGUGAUUGUUUACCUGAGCCCGUGUUUAGUCUGAAAGCAGACAUGACGUCACAUGCAACAAAGGUAUCCAACUUGAUUUUACAUAAUUGAUAGUACUGAGGGAAUCGGGUCAUCACCUACAAAAGUACAGAAUUGGGUAGCCAACCUUACCAGUUAGUGUGACGGAGGGGGACAGUGACACAAAAUUUUUAUGACAAAGCAUUGUCAAAUAUUUAUAUUUUUGAAACAAUUUGCUGUUUUUUCCGUUCCUUUUUGCAUAAUCAUAUUUUUGCUUGAUUGCCAAACAUGCCGAGGAUGUCAUUUGGGAAGUAAACAAGGUAGGCCGUUCAUAUACUCUUGAUAUUCAGUGUUUUAUGUGUACAAUGUUUCAUGUACAUUCUGGGGGUUUUAUUCAGUAAAAACUUGUCAAAUACAAA